AUGUUGGCUUAGAAGCAGCCAUCAUUUAAAGAAAGCGUAAUAGCUCACUGGUCGAGUCGGCCUGCGCGGAAGAUGUAACGGGGCUAAACCAUGCACCGAAGCUGCGGCAGCGAACGUAUCACUUAAAGCGAUUCAGCGGGUUACGAUUGACGGAGCGAAGCGACGUCAAAGCGUAUACAAAGUCGAGUCGGUUUAAGGAUACGUUCGUUGGGUAGGGGAGCGUUCUGUAAGCCUGUGAAGGUGGCCUGUGAGGGUUGCUGGAGGUAUCAGAAGUGCGAAUGCUGACAUAAGUAACGAUAAAGCGGGUGAAAAGCCCGCUCGCCGGAAGACCAAGGGUUCCUGUCCAACGUUAAUCGGGGCAGGGUGAGUCGACCCCUAAGGCGAGGCCGAAAGGCGUAGUCGAUGGGAAACGGGUUAAUAUUCCCGUACUUGGUGUUACUGCGAAGGGGGGACGGAGAAGGCUAUGUUGGCCGGGCGACGGUUGUCCCGGUUUAAGCGUGUAGGUGUGUGUUCCAGGUAAAUCCGGUUCACUUUAACACUGAGGCGUGACGACGAGGCACUACGGUGCUGAAGCAACAAAUGCCCUGCUUCCAGGAAAAGCCUCUAAGCAUCAGGUAACAUCAAAUCGUACCCCAAACCGACACAGGUGGUCAGGUAGAGAAUACCAAG
rnacentral:rRNA from 1 species